UAAUGUGACAGUGAUCUGUCUGUGAUAUCUGUCACCCCAUUCAUUUCCAGGGUUAGUUGGACUGAUCUGACUGGCUAGGCAGGUGUCCCCUUCCUUCCUAAUACCUUCAAAAACUGACUGCUUGAUUAAAGAGGACCUUCCCCGAAAAGAGACUAAUUGGUCUUCAGUUGAACAUAUAAUGUAUACCAGUAGCUGCUCUUCCCUUCUAGAACCUCCAAACGAGCUCUCAAAUUCAUUAUCAUUUCUGUCAAUCCUGGUUCCCUUCCACAAAAUUCAUUACUAAAU
rnacentral:snRNA from 1 species